rnacentral:rRNA from 1 species
GAUGAACGCUGGCGGCGUGCCUAAUACAUGCAAGUCGAACGAAACUUCUUUAUCACCGAGUGCUUGCACUCACCGAUAAAGAGUUGAGUGGCGAACGGGUGAGUAACACGUGGGCAACCUGCCCAAAAGAGGGGGAUAACACUUGGAAACAGGUGCUAAUACCGCAUAACCAUAGUUACCGCAUGGUAACUAUGUAAAAGGUGGCUAUACUACCGCUUUUGGAUGGGCCCGCGGCGCAUUAGCUAGUUGGUAGGGUAAAGGCUUACCAAGGCAAUGAUGCGUAGCCGAAUUGAGAGGUUGAUCGGCCACAUUGGGAAUGAGACACGGCCCAAAAUCCUACGGGAGGCAGCAGUAGGGAAUCUUCCACAAUGGGCGAAAGCCUGAUGGAGCAACGCCGCGUGGGUGAAGAAGGUCUUCGGAUCGUAAAACCCUGUUGUUAGAGAAGAAAGUGCGUGAGAGUAACUGUUCACGUUUCGACGGUAUCUAACCAGAAAGCCACGGCUAACUACGU